rfam:Aedes albopictus isolate Foshan contig96750, whole genome shotgun sequence.
UAGCUUAAUGGUUAAGGCUAUGGAUCGCCAAUCCGGAGACGGCGGGUUCGAUUCCCGU